CACACCGCCCGUCACGCCAUGGAAGUUGGGAGUGCCCGAAGUCGGUGUGCCAACCCGCAAGGGGGCAGCCGCCGAAGGCGAGCCUGAUGACUGGGGCG
rnacentral:rRNA from 1 species